ACUCAAAUGAAUUGACGGGGGCCCGCACAAGCGGUGGAGCAUGUGGUUUAAUUCGACGCAACGCGCAGAACCUUACCCAGACUUGACAUUGAUGGAAUCCCUUAGAAAUUUGGGAGUGCCCUUCGGGGCCCAGAAAACAGGUGCUGCAUGGCUGUCGUCAGCUCGUGUCGUGAGAUGUUGGGUUAAGUCCCGCAACGAGCGCAACCCUUGCCUUUAGUUGCCAUCAUUUAGUUGGGCACUCUAGAGGGACUGCCGGUGUUAAACCGGAGGAAGGUGGGGAUGACGUCAAGUCCUCAUGGCCUUUAUGUUUGGGGCUACACACGUGCUACAAUGGCUGCUACAAAGCGUUGCGAACUCGCGAGAGGGAGCCAAUCGCAUAAAAGCAGUCUCAGUUCGGAUUGAAGUCUGCAACUCGACUUCAUGAAGCUGGAAUCGCUAGUAAUCGUGGAUCAGCACGCCACGGUGAAUACGUUCCCGGGCCUUGUACACACCGCCCGU
rnacentral:rRNA from 1 species